GAUGAACGCUAGCGGCAGGCUUAACACAUGCAAGUCGAGGGGCAACACGGGUAGCAAUACCUGGUGGCGACCGGCGCAAGGGUGCGUAACGCGUGAGCAACAUACCCUAUACAGGGGGAUAAUCCAGGGAAACUUGGUCUAAUAUCCCAUAGGAUUUACAGAUGUCAUCAUCUAUAAAUUAAAGCUUCGGUGGUAUAGGAUUGGCUCGCGUGACAUUAGCUAGAUGGUGGGGUAACGGCCUACCAUGGCCAUGAUGUCUAGGGGUUCUGAGAGGAAGACCCCCCCAACUGGGACUGAGACACGGCCCAGACUCCUACGGGAGGCAGCAGUGAGGAAUAUUGGACAAUGGAUGGAAAUACUGAUCCAGCCAUGCCGCGUGCAGGAAGACGGCCCUAUGGGUUGUAAACUAGCUUUAUUAUGGAGCAAUAAAGGUCUACGCGUAGACCGAUGAGAGGUACCAUAUGAAUAAAGCAUCGGCUAA
rnacentral:rRNA from 1 species